GCCUCAUGUGUGUAUGUGCAUGCUCUUUCAAAUUAAAUAAAUAGAAAUUAGUAAAUGAAGAGGAAAAAAACACAUAGGAGAAUAUAAAGAAUAGAUGGGGAGUUGGGGAAGAAUGGUAACAAUAUGAUAUAGAUGAGCAGACUAUGACAUGCAGAAUUGUUAUACUGAGUUUGACUCUGAGCUGCCUGGGUAUUGAAGUAGAACAACAUUGAUCUUUUACAUAUUACUCUUCAAUCAUGAGUUCCUCAAGAGGAAUUGUUUUAAACUGGAGUAAGUCUUGGUCACCGUACCAUUUUUUAAUUAAGAAUAAUGUAUCAAAUUAAAAACUACUUGGCUUGUUAAAAGAUUCUCUCAAACAUAUGCAGGGGUAAAAUAUUAGACACCUUAUCAGAGAUCAAAUGAGAAUAGAUAACCUUUACUACUGCUACUCAACAGUGUUCUUGGACGUCUCUGUCAGUACAAUUACCAAGACAAAAAGUAAUGAUAUAAAUACUAGGAAGUGAGAACAUUUGUAAGAAAUACCUACCUAUAAGACAAUCAACUGGCAAGUCAUUAGAAACCAUGACAGUUCAGCAAGGUGACUGAAAACAAGAUUAAUAUAUAAAAAACAGCAAUAUUGAGAAAUUUUAUGGGGGGGGGAUGGAUAGUAUCCCAAUAGCAAUUUUUUAAAAAGAUUACCUAGAAAUAAAAGCCUAACAAGAGUUAUUGGAGAAGUUAAAACUUUAUUGGAGAAAAUAAAUAGUAGAGAGGAAUGUCAUGGUUAUGAAUGGGAAGGCUUAAUAUUGUAAAGAAUUCAAUACUAUUUUAAAAAUCUCAACAGGAUUUACCAUAGAACUGUUCAAACUGAUUCUAAAAUGGAUGUGAACGUGUACAUUCAAAAACAGCCAAAAUAUAAAAUCGUAACCAUUAGCUAUAUCUCGUACUAUGCUUACAGACUUCCACUUCACUUUGAAAUUCAGUAAACUGUAUGUCUUAAUUCAACUGCUUUAGUUGCAUUUGAUCAAAAGAUUUUAAUGAACUUAUAGGUGCGUGAAAUUUGCUGAUAAACCAAUGGAAAGCCACUGUUAACCUUGCAAGACAAAUGAACAGUUACUGCUGGGAGAACAUAAACCUUGUUUCCGUAUAAAGCAUGUGCAGAGGUGGAGAGAAAGGAAUCCUAGCAUCUGAAGUAACCAGAUGGAAAGAAGAGCCAGGAGCCAUGCAGCAGUCUUUUGCCCGGGAAGUGCAGUGUUUUGAAGAAGGCAGGGAGCCCUCUGUGCUAGAAAGCCGGCCCUAGACCCACCACCAUUUUAGAGUCUUCAAGCAGUCUUUGGAUCUGCAUUUGAGUUUAAAGGAGAAAAUUUCUGAUCACCUUUUAGAGUCUGAGUGUGAACCUACUGUCUAGAGUCAGGGAGCAAAGCAUCCACUUCUACCCCCACCUUCAUCAACCUCCUACUCCCCACUGCCAUGGCCUUGAACCAAUCAAGGAGGAUCUGGGCCCCAUUCCUGCAAACUUUCUAAGUAGCCCAGAAGUAACCCAAGUUGUGUCCUACUGACCCUGGAAGCCUUCUCUACAACUAUGGAAUACAUAAGCCGGAAUCUGCCUAGUCCAACACUAAGCAAGACCGGACCCUCACCUCCUGGAGUAGCUGAAGUUGAAACAUUAAUGCUGGAAGGAUGGCCUCAUCUUGAGUUUAUAAACAGUUUUGUAGUGGAGCCUUCUAGGGACGAGGAAGGGCAUGUGGCUGAUUUCGGUCUUGCUGAACCAGAAGAGGGCACUUAAAUACAGACAGAGGUAGGUCACUGUGCUGUGAGGCCCCGUUGGGCAAACAUCUUCAGGAGCUUUGUAAUGUGUCACUUUGGGGCUACCUGUUUUCUAGACAGGAAGCAAUUCUUCACUUGACUAAUGAUGAAGUUUCUUCUGCUUUCAGGGACUUUCUACCAAGUGGACUCUUGUAACAACCCACAUUUCUCCUUCAGUUUCCAGUUUUACUGCUGUACGUGCUAUAUACAGCUUCCAGUAAUGAUUCCUGCAGAGCGGGUGGGAGCUUGGCCCCGGAAAUGGCAGUGGUCUCCCCGAGCCUGCCUCACAGGACAAAUGCUGCCUGCCUUCCAGACUCUGCCUCUAGCAACUGCCUGGGACCCCCUGAACUAAGAGCACCCACCUAAUGUGUCAUCAUCCCCUCCAGAAGAUAGCCGGAGUCCUGAGUGCAGGUUGCCAGCCUCCAUUUCAUCAUUUGGUUUUCUGCUUUUAAAUGUUUCCAUGGAACUUACAGCAGUCCACCUCACACGUUUUUAACUCUUUUUUAAACUAAUGAGGUGACCUGUUCAGGGUAGACGAGCCAAAUGAAUCUUGACGAAAGCAACCCAUAACACCAUAACAGCAAAUAAAUGAUUUUACCUCAGCUGGCCAAAACAUCUUCGUGGCAUGGGAGGCACAGAGCUGUUCUCUCGGCCUUUGACUGGAAGAGUGGAAGUGACAGCCUUGAUUCUCCGAAAGCAGACUUUACAUGAGCACCAAGUGUGUGUGAGGGCAUUUAGGAGAAAGGUCAUUUUUUUUAAAUCAUAAAGCAUCUUUUAAGAAAAGUUUUUAAUGUUUGUUUUUGAGAGAGACAGAG